UACGUAGGGGGCAAGCGUUGUCCGGAUUUAUUGGGCGUAAAGAGCGUGUAGGCGGCCAUGCAGGUCCGCUGUGAAAACUCGAGGCUCAACCUCGAGACGCCGGUGGAAACCAUCAGGCUAGAGUCCGGAAGAGGAGAGUGGAAUUCCUGGUGUAGCGGUGAAAUGCGCAGAUAUCAGGAAGAACACCCGUGGCUAAGGCGGCUCUCUAGUACGGUACUGACGCUGAGACGCGAAAGCGUGGGGAGCGAACAGG
rnacentral:rRNA from 1 species